rnacentral:rRNA from 11 species
AUCAGGAACCCAGAUACCCUGGAGGCACCCAAUCCUGCUUGUUGUCAGAUGCUAAGCAGGGUCAGGUUUGGUUUGUACUUGAAAGGGGAACUGCCAAGGAAUGCCAGGUGUUGUAGGCC